rnacentral:tRNA from 1 species
UAAUAUUUAGGAUAGGACUUAAAUCCAUUAUGUUGUCAACAUAAAAACCAUCGGUGAGAUGAAUAUUAU